rnacentral:rRNA from 3 species
UGGCGACCAUAGCGUUGUGGACCCACCUGAUCCCAUGCCGAACUCAGAAGUGAAACGCAAUAGCGCCGAUGGUAGUGUGGGGCUUCCCCAUGUGAGAGUAGGACAUCGCCAGGCU